rnacentral:rRNA from 1 species
AAUCAACGCUGGCGGCGUGCCUCAGACAUGCAAGUCGAACGAUUAAAGCUCUCUUCGGAGAGUGUAUAGAGUGGCGCACGGGUGAGUAACACGUAAGUAAUCUACCUUUGAGUGGGGAAUAACAGUCGGAAACGACUGCUAAUACCGCAUAAUGCAGCGGCAUCGCAAGAUGACAGUUGUUAAAGGAGCAAUCCGCUUAAAGAGGAGCUUGCGGCAGAUUAGCUAGUUGGUAAGGUAAUGGCUUACCAAGGCUACGAUCUGUAUCCGGUCUAAGAGGACGGUCGGACACACUGACACUGAAUAACGGGUCAGACUCCUACGGGAGGCAGCAGUCGGG